CAACUUUCAACAACGGAUCUCUUGGCUCUUGCAUCGAUGAAGAACGCAGCGAAAUGCGAUAAGUAAUGUGAAUUGCAGAAUCCAGUGAAUCAUCGAAUCUUUGAACGCACCUUGCGCCCUUUGGUAUUCCGAGGGGCAUGCCUGUUUGAGAGUC
rnacentral:rRNA from 3 species